GCUAUCAAUAUAGCUCAACCACAAAAACCACAAUAAACAAAAACACAACACACCUCCCCAUAACUAAAACAUUCUCUGUCUUUAGUAUAGGCGAUAGAAAUAGAAAAAGAAGCAAUAAAUAUAGUACCGCAAGGGAACUAUGAAAUAGAAAUGAAAAAACUCAUUAAAGCACAUAAAAGCAGAGACGAACCCUCGUACCUUUUGCAUCAUGGUCUAGCAAGUCACACUCAAGCAAAAUGAUUUUUAGUUUGACACCCCGAAACUAGACGAGCUACUCCGAGGCAGCUAAUAGAGCCAACCCUUCUCUGUGGCAAAAGAGUGGGAAGACCCCCGAGUAGCGGUGACAGACCUAACGAGUCUAGUGAUAGCUGGUUGCUCAGAAAAAGAAUAUUAGUUCUGCUCUAAACCUAUUAAAAGCAAACUAAGCAUAAAAUAAGAUUUAGAAGUUAUUCAAUAAGGGUACAGCCUUAUUGAAUUAGGACACAACCUACUCAGAUGGGUUAUAACUACAACCACCAAGGCAAGUGACUAAGUAGGCUUAAAAGCAGCCACCUAUUAAGAAAGCGUCAAAGCUCACCCACAAUAACCCCUAAAAUCCCAGCAUUUACAAUAAAACCCUCACUCACUACUGAGCUGCUCCAUACUCCUAUGGAGCUAUUAAUGCUAGAACUAGUAACAAGAGCACAAACCUCUCUAACAAUGCAAACCUAAGUCAGAUCGAACACCUCACUGACAAUUAACGUCAGCCAUAGAGCCAAAAAUAGAAACCAAACAAGAAAACCCUAUUAAAAACACCGUUAACCUAACACAAGAGCAUUAAAAGAAAGAUAUAAAGACGCAUAAGGAACUCGGCAAACACGAACCCCGCCUGUUUACCAAAAACAUCGCCUCUUGCCAAACAAUCAAGUAUAAGAGGUCCAGCCUGCCCAGUGACUAAAUGUUCAACGGCCGCGGUAUUCUGACCGUGCAAAGGUAGCGUAAUCACUUGUCUUUUAAAUAAAGACUGGUAUGAAUGGCACCACGAGGGUUCCACUGUCUCAUGCGUCCUAUCAGUGAAACUAACCUCCCCGUGCAGAGGCGGGGAUAUCAACAUAAGACGAGAAGACCCUAUGGAGCUUAAAACCUUGGACAAUUGUUCAAUAUUAAACAAUCAACAGACAUACCUAAAAAACAAACAACCCUGAUCCAAUGGUUUUCGGUUGGGGCGACCACGGAGAAUAAAACAUCCUCCACGAAGAACGGAUUAACAAACCUUAAACGAGAGUCACCACUCAAAGCAAUAAAAUAUUUAACUUAAAUUGACCCAGCAUAGCUGAUCAACGAACCAAGUUACCCUAGGGAUAACAGCGCUAUCCACUUCAAAAGUUCAUAUUGACAAGUGGGUUUACGACCUCGAUGUUGGAUCAGGGCAUCCCGGUGGUGCAGCCGCUACCAAAGGUUCGUUUGUUCAACGAUUAAAGCCCUACGUGAUCUGAGUUCAGACCGGAGAAAUCCAGGUCAGUUUCUAUCUAUGUGGAACUCCCACCAGUACGAAAGGACCGAGGGAGUGCGGUCAAUAAACAAUCACACCGCAACCUUAAAUCAAUGAACACCCUCAAUUGAAUUAAGACCCAUCAAAUAAGCCUAAAAACAAGGCCU
rnacentral:rRNA from 1 species